CAGCCUCGCAUUGAGCACUAAGCGAAUUAUUCUUUCGCCUUUUACUAAAGAAUACCGAGUGCUCGUUGCAAUCAAAAGGCAUAUGCCAAUUUUUCAAGGGAAUUUGCUCUCUUGAGCUAG